rnacentral:rRNA from 1 species
GACGAACGCUGGCGGCGUGCUUAACACAUGCAAGUCGAACGAUGAACCAGGAGCUUGCUCUUGGGGAUUAGUGGCGAACGGGUGAGUAACACGUGAGUAACCUGCCCUUGACUCUGGGAUAACCUCCGGAAACGGAAGCUAAUACCGGAUAUGACGCACGGAGGCAUCUCCUGUGCGUGGAAAGAAUUUUGGUCAAGGAUGGACUCGCGGCCUAUCAGGUAGUUGGUGAGGUAACGGCCCACCAAGCCUACGACGGGUAGCCGGCCUGAGAGGGUGACCGGCCACACUGGGACUGAGACACGGCCCAGACUCCUAUGGGAGGCAGCAGUGGGGAAUCUUGCACAAUGGGCGAAAGCCUGAUGCAGCGACGCCGCGUGAGGGAAGACGGCCUUCGGGUUGUAAACCUCUUUCAGGAGGGACGAAGGUCCGCCCGCGAAUAGCGAGGCGGAUUGACGGUACCUCCAGAAGAAGCCCCGGCUAACUACGUGC